UACCUGGGGUGCAAACGUUGCUCGGAAUUAUUGGGCGUAAAGCGCGCGUAGGCGGUUACUCAAGUCGGAUGUGAAAGCCCUCGGCUUAACUGAGGAAGUGCACCCGAAACUGAGUAGCUAGAGUACUAAAGAGGGUCGCGGAAUUCCCGGUGUAGAGGUGAAAUUCGUAGAUAUCGGGAGGAACACCGGUGGCGAAGGCGGCGACCUGGGUAGAUACUGACGCUGAGGCGCGAAAGCGUGGGGAGCAAACAGG
rnacentral:rRNA from 1 species